UACGUAGGUGGCAAGCGUUGUCCGGAAUUAUUGGGCGUAAAGAGUGCGUAGGCGGUCUAUUAAGUCUCAUUUGAAAGCCCAUGGCUUAACCAUGGAGGGUGAUGGGAAACUGAUAGACUUGAGUAAAGGAGAGGAAGGUGGAAUUCCACGUGUAGCGGUGAAAUUCGUAGAUAUCGGGAGGAACACCAGCGGCGAAGGCGGCCAUCUGGACGGAUACUGACGCUGAGACGCGAAAGCGUGGGGAGCAAACAGG
rnacentral:rRNA from 1 species